rfam:Flavobacterium succinicans strain DD5b FLB_contig000017, whole genome shotgun sequence.
UUAUAGCCCCGAUUGCAGUGGCAUCCUUUUUUAUAGCUGGCAGGUUUUUGGACCUGACAGUUAUAAAAAAGAUAUAACGUACAGCGGGAAUCCUG